UACGUAGGGGGCAAGCGUUGUCCGGAUUUAUUGGGCGUAAAGAGCGUGUAGGCGGCCAGGUAGGUCAGCUGUGAAAACUCGAGGCUUAACCUCGAGACGCCGGCUGAAACCCUCUGGCUAGAGUCCGGAAGAGGAGAGCGGAAUUCCUGGUGUAGCGGUGAAAUGCGCAGAUAUCAGGAGGAACACCGGUGGCGAAGGCGGUUCUCUGGGCCUUACCUGACGCUGAGGAGCGAAAGCGUGGGGAGCGAACAGG
rnacentral:rRNA from 1 species